GACGAACGCUGGCGGCGUGCUUAACACAUGCAAGUCGAACGGUGAUCUUGAGAGCUUGCUCUUGGGUGAUCAGUGGCGAACGGGUGAGUAACACGUGAGUAACCUGCCCCUGACUCUGGAAUAACUUCGGGAAACCGAAGCUAAUACCGGAUAUGACACAGAGCCGCAUGGUUUCUGUGUGGAAAGUUUUUCGGUUGGGGAUGGACUCGCGGCCUAUCAGCUUGUUGGUGAGGUAAUGGCUCACCAAGGCGACGACGGGUAGCCGGCCUGAGAGGGCGACCGGCCACACUGGGACUGAGACACGGCCCAGACUCCUACGGGAGGCAGCAGUGGGGAAUAUUGCACAAUGGGCGAAAGCCUGAUGCAGCGACGCCGCGUGAGGGAUGAAGGCCUUCGGGUUGGUAACCUCUUUCAGUAGGGAAGAAGCGCAAGUGACGGUACCGUACAGAAGAAGACACCGGCUAACUACGUGCCAGCAGCCGCGGUAA
rnacentral:rRNA from 1 species